rnacentral:rRNA from 1 species
GAAGGGAGGAGCCUGCGGCCCAUCAGCUAGUUGGUGAGGUAAAAGCUUACCAAGGCUACGACGGGUAGGGGGCCUGAGAGGGCGUCCCCCCACGCUGGAACUGAAACACGGUCCAGACGCCUACGGGUGGCAGCAGGGAGGAGUAUUUGACAAUGGGCGAAAGCCCGAUCGAGCAACGCCGCGUGAGGGAUGAAGGUAUUCGUACUGUAAACCUCUUUUCAGGGAGACGAGAAAGGACGGUAUCCCUGGAAUCAGUCACGGCUAACUACGUGCCAGCAGCCGCGGUAAUACGUAGGUGGCGAGCGUUAUCCGGAUUUACUGGGCGUAAAGCGCUUGUAGGUGGCUUGGUAAGUUGGGCGUGAAAUCUCCGGGCUUAACUCGGAGAGGCCGUCCAAUACUGUCAGGCUAGAGGAUAUUUGGGGAAAGUGGAAUUCCUGGUGUAGUAGUGAAAUGCGUAGAUAUCAGGAGGAACACCCGUGGCGAAGGCGGCUUUCUAAGAUAUUCCUGACACUGAGAAGCGACAGCUAGGGGAGCAAACAGGAUUAGAAACCCUGGUAGUCCUAGCCGUAAACGAUGGAUGCUAGGUGUUGGAGGACUUAACCCCUCCUGUGCCGAAGCUAACGCGUUAAGC